AACGAACGCUGGCGGCAUGCUUAACACAUGCAAGUCGAACGAGACCUUCGGGUCUAGUGGCGCACGGGUGCGUAACGCGUGGGAACCUGCCCUUAGGUUCGGAAUAACUCCCCGAAAGGGGUGCUAAUACCGGAUAAUGUCUCCGGACAAAAGAUUUAUAGCCCAUGGAUGGGCCCGCGUUGGAUUAGCUAGUUGGUAGGGUAAAAGCCUACCAAGGCGACGAUCCAUAGCUGGUCUGAGAGGAUGAUCAGCCACACUGGGACUGAGACACGGCCCAGACACCUACGGGAGGCAGCAGUAGGGAAUAUUGGACAAUGGGCGAGAGCCUGAUCCAGCAAUGCCGCGUGAGUGAUGAAUGCCUGAGGGUUGUAAAGCUCUUUUACCCGAGAUGAUAAUGACAGUACCGGGAGAAUAAGCGCCGGCUAACUCCGUG
rnacentral:rRNA from 1 species